rnacentral:lncRNA from 1 species
UUGUGUGCAACUUGACAAGUGCAUUUAGAAAGUUUUAUCAUUUUAUAUAUGAGUACUCUCUACUUAGGAAAAAUAAUUAUUUUUCAUUUGAAAGAUUAUUAUGGAGGUAAGUUUACUUUUCUUUAAUAUUACUCUCUCCAACUGCUGCAGUUGGAACUGCGGCUGCUCAAAUGCAGCAGUUGGAAUUACGCCCAAAUUGGCCACAGUUUUAAUUGCGGCAAUUUGGAUUUAAAUAUAUGAAACUAAAGAGAGAAUUUAGAUUUGAAUGCAGUUAUAAUUGUAAGGCAGUUGCAAUUACAUGCAAUCAAACAGCCGCUAGAUAU